rnacentral:lncRNA from 10 species
AGCAGCACUCAGCUAAAAGGAAGACUCACAGAACACAGUUGAAGAAGGAAAGUGGCGAUGGACCUCAUCCCAAAUUUGGCGGUGGAAACCUGGCUUCUCCUGGCUGUCAGCCUGGUGCUCCUCUAUCUAUAUGGGACCCGUACACAUGGACUUUUUAAGAGACUGGGAAUUCCAGGGCCCACACCUCUGCCUUUGUUGGGAAAUGUUUUGUCCUAUCGUCAGAUCAACUCUUGUAGUAGAUCAACAUUUCUGGGACCUUCUUUUGCAUGGUUAAAACAUCACAGCUGAAUCUUAGCAACAGGAAGGUUUGUUUUUAUGUUUCAGAAGUGAAAGCUCAGAGCACGCAUUGUAAUUUGCUGGGUGUGAUGUGUAGAGGUGGCAUUUCUCCAUCUUUUCUGUGUUAAGCUAGAAAACUGGAAAGGAAGUCUACUUUCUCAUUCACUCACUCACUUUCUCACUCAACAACAUGCCUUAGACUUAUCUAAAUCUGCAAGACUAAAAGAGGUUCCUGGUUUCUUUAACUUUCUAAUUCUGCUAGAGUUCUAGAGAGAGCACAUGAGAUAAAUGAAAAGGAUACUGAUGGAGGAGAUUAAAAAAUUGUGCAUUCCCUGCAGACACUCACUUUUCCUCACCUCAGUUUCACCCCUGCCCUUGCAGGUGAUCAUUCACGGGGUUAGGAGACUUUAGAGAGAAUAAAAGAAAAAGCAAAAAUACAUCAGAAAGACAAGGAAUUACUUACUGGUCAUAGACAAGGGUGAGUCCUUCAGUACUUAGAGAAAAUUCAAGAGUGACUUUAAAUUCCCCACUUCAAAUAUAUUCUCUGUUUUCUUGUCUUUCCCUUAAGACAUCUCUGAAUAGCUUCCUUCAACUGCCAGUGAAAGAUAGCAGGCCUGAUUUCAUUGGACGCAACUGUUUUCAGCCCCAAUUAGAGGUAGGGUUUAUUCUAUUUAAAAUAAUAAUCAACUUGUAUUUUGUUUCCUCUCCCAGGGUCUCUGGAAAUUUGACACAGAGUGCUAUAAAAAGUAUGGAAAAAUGUGGGGGUGAGUAUUCUGAAAACCUCCAUUGGAUAGACCUGCUACUGUGAGGAGGUUACCCCACUGCAGGAUAGUCUCUGCCCAGGUCUUCAUGGGAUGAAGCUCUUGUCAACCUAAAUACAAACAGAGAGAGGUUCUCUGAAAGAAGAGGAUAAUUACUUGGGAGUAGAAUAUUGCAAUGGGAAUCUGCUUGCCGUUAUAAACUAUGUGCAAAUUCAGGGAGGUAAACAAGACAAAGAUGCUCCAUAGAAAAUAUGAGAAGAAUCUCAUAACUGUUUUGAGAUAAUUAUUGUUAGCUACAAAGAUCAAUAACAAGGGUGAUGCCACACCAAGGUUGGACAGGCAGUUGCUGGACAGGUGUCCUUGCAGAAAUAUUUUUGUGUAAAGUUGAAAUAGCCUUUGUGCAAAGUUGUGGUUUUUGUAGACACUUUUGUAAUAGUUUUGUUUCCAGGAACACAAGCAUAAGAAUCCUCUCUUCAUAGCCUUCUUGGGAUUUAUUUGUCAGGGUUAAAAAACAAUUAGUGACAUCACUUUGGUUCUGAUAAAGUUCACACUCGCUAUUGUAAAACUUUUCGAGGCUUGUCCUACCAAGGAUCCCAUGUGUCACCAGGUAUCGAGGUCUUCAGUCUGAACUAGGCUAGGAGCAUUGUGGUUACCACUUUUCUGCAGGUUUUGGUGGCCCAGGGACUCCCAGCAUCGCCUUCUGUCCAGUGUCUGCCUAUUCCCCUCUUCUUUUUUUCUUCCUUAGGUGCCCUUUUAUCACAUGCAUUGUCUCAGACCCUUCUAAUAUGUGCUCAUAAAUGCAUGGCAUCAUCUCCUUCCCACAUUGAUUCACUUUCAAUUAAAAGCCAAAACUCCUUCAUUUAGACUGAAUUUAACAUGUGCUUUUGAAAGAAGGGUUGAGAGAUAAUAGAGAAACAGAUUGGGAAACCACUUAUGCUCCACUUUUUUAAACUUUCUCUGCAAGUAUGGAAUUUUUUGUUCUGCUUUGUUGUUUAAAUUUAAGCCAAAACUUCUUAAUAGAAGGAUAUACAAAUAUUUAUUGGUUUAUACCAUUGCACUUACUUUGAAGAAGAGAUGCUGAAUAUUAUUAAACCAUUGUGUUCCCUGGUGGGCUGAUGGACUGUGAUUUUAUAAGGUGGUCUCAGCCAAUUGCAGCAGCUGUUCCCUGUCAGAGGGGCUAGAGGUUUGGUGAGAGCAGUGGAUGAGGUGCAGUGGUGUGUUUGUUCACUAGAAGCAAGUGGGAGAAAGCUUUGCCUCUUUGUACUUCUUCAUCUUCUCCCCUCAAGUCCUCAGAAUCCACAGCGCUGACUGUGGAGUGCUGUGGAGCUGGCAUGGCCCAUACAGGCAACAUGACUUAGUAGACAGAUGACACAGCUCUAGAUGUCCAUGGGCCCCACACCAACUGCCCUUGCAGCAUUUAGUCCUUGUGAGCACUUGAUGAUUUACCUGCCUUCAAUUUUUCACUGACCUAAUAUUCUUUUUGAUAAUGAAGUAUUUUAAACAUAUAAAACAUUAUGGAGAGUGGCAUAGGAGAUACCCACGUAUGUACCACCCAGCUUAACGAAUGCUCUACUGUCAUUUCUAACCAUAAUCUCUUUAAAGAGCUCUUUUGUCUUUCAAUAUCUCUUCCCUGUUUGGACCACAUUACCCUUCAUCAUAUGAAGCCUUGGGUGGCUCCUGUGUGAGACUCUUGCUGUGUGUCACACCCUAAUGAACUAGAACCUAAGGUUGCUGUGUGUCGUACAACUAGGGAACGUAUGAAGGUCAACUCCCUGUGCUGGCCAUCACAGAUCCCGACGUGAUCAGAACAGUGCUAGUGAAAGAAUGUUAUUCUGUCUUCACA